CGAAUCCGCAAGCGAAAAUCCUUUAUUAUCUUGGGUGAUUGCUUGAGUUAAGCCUUCUUCAAUCCCUCCUCUGCCACCGCCACCUUCGUCCACGGUACUGGCAAAAACCUGAACGACCCAAAAUUUUCGCCGUUUUCGUGUAAGCAAUGUUUAGGGUAUCCCACCAAUUUUACGGCGACCCAAUUCCGGCCUAUCGCCGACGAAUUGAGCAUCGCCAUUACCUGGAAACGUCUCCUCUCACUCACAAGAGAUAAAUUCAGAAUGGGAAUCAAGAAAUACCAUCAGAUCAAAGUGAACCUAGUGGCAACCCCUGUCAUCCUUCUUAUACGUUGUCUAAUUGAGAGAUAUGCAAAUUGUGCAAUCUUUAACAAUGAAAAACUUCAUUGUGAAGAAUUGCAUCGGCUUGGUUUCUAUAUGUUUCUUUU